AGUCAUGUCCAGUUCUGUAAACAAAUUCUCAACUGCACCAGAAGGCCUGACAGUUAAGAGAACCCAGUGAAGAAACCUUUUGCAGAGAGAGAAAAGAACCCUUUUGAAUGUGAUCAAUCACGCUGAUUUAUUUGGAUGAUUUCUCUUCUGGAUUUCCUUAAACCAGGGAAAACCCAGAGACAGAGGUCUUGCUAUGUUGCCCAGGCUGGUCUCAAGCUCCUGGCCUCAAGCGAUUCUCCUUCCUCAGCCUCCAAAAGUGCUGGGAUUACAGGCCACAAAAUGCAUGGCACAGGGAAGGGUUUGACAACUUUUUGAUGGAUGAACAAAGAAGAUUCAAGCCACUUGUCAACAAGCUCAAAGUGAUUGAAAGUGGAAGCAUUUACCCACACGCUCAUGCAGAAAAUGACAGGAAAUCAUCCAGAGACACUUGUGACAGAGAUGAGAACUGUCACUGUUGAGAGGUGCUGCGGAGAUGGGUGUCCACGGAUGACCGUUCGGAGGCCGACUUCGGGGAUGUGGCCCCAUUAGCUCAAGAGUGGGUGACUCCCUACCACACUGAUGGCGUUGGCCAGGACAGGACAAGCCUACUGCAGUGACACAGUGUCACUGAUCCCUGAUGCCCACGUAAUCUUAGCCAGGAGCUAUGUCUCAUGUCAAUAAUCGCAGCAGUUUGGGAGGCUGAGGCGGGAAGAUCACUUGAGCCCAGGAGUUCGAGACGAGCCUGAGCAACACAGUGAGACCUCAUCUCUACAAAAAAUUAAAAUAAAAUAAAAUAAAAUAAAAUC
rnacentral:lncRNA from 1 species